UACGUAGGUGGCAAGCGUUUGUCCGGAUUUAUUGGGCGUAAAGAGCGUGUAGGCGGCCAGACAGGUCCGUUGUGAAAACUCGAGGCUCAACCUCGAGACGUCGAUGGAAACCGUCGGGCUAGAGUCCGGAAGAGGAGAGUGGAAUUCCUGGUGUAGCGGUGAAAUGCGCAGAUAUCAGGAGGAACACCGGUGGCGAAGGCGGGUCUCUGGGCCGAUACUGACGUGAGGAGCGAAAGCGUGGGGAGCGAACAGG
rnacentral:rRNA from 1 species